CGCCACUUCCUCCUCUCUCGUCAACCAUGAAAACCUUCGCAGUUCUCGCGCUCUUGGCUCAGGUGUGUCAGCUCGCACUGGCCAUUGAGUCGGCACCUUAUAACCUGGUUAACUCCGCCGAGACCUAUGAAGAGCGCGUGUAUCCGGCACAGAAGUGGGUCACCACAUCGGUUCUUUAUU
rnacentral:lncRNA from 1 species